GACGAACGCUGGCGGCGCGCCUAACACAUGCAAGUCGAACGAGGUUGAGAGGAGCUUGCUUUUCUUGACUUAGUGGCGAACGGGUGAGUAACGCGUGAGGAACCUGCCUCAAAGAGGGGGACAACAGUUGGAAACGACUGCUAAUACCGCAUAACGUGUCGAGGAGGCAUCUCCUUGACACCAAAGAUUUAUCGCUGAAAGAUGGGCUCGCGUCUGAUUAGCUAGUUGGUGGGGUAACGGCCUACCAAGGCGACGAUCAGUAGCCGGACUGAGAGGUUGAACGGCCACAUUGGGACUGAGAUACGGCCCAG
rnacentral:rRNA from 1 species